rnacentral:rRNA from 1 species
CCUACGGGAGGCAGCAGUGAGGAAUAUUGGUCAAUGGCCGUAAGGCUGAACCAGCCAAGUCGCGUGAAGGAAGAAGGAUCUAUGGUUUGUAAACUUCUUUUAUAGGGGAAUAAAGGUAUCCACGUGUGGAUAUUUGCAUGUACCCUAUGAAUAAGCAUCGGCUAACUCCGUGCCAGCAGCCGCGGUAAUACGGAGGAUGCGAGCGUUAUCCGGAUUUAUUGGGUUUAAAGGGUGCGUAGGUUGUUUUUUAAGUCAGCGGUGAAAGUUUGUGGCUCAACCAUAAAACUGCCGUUGAUACUGGAAGACUUGAGUGUGUUUGAGGUAGGCGGAAUGCGUGGUGUAGCGGUGAAAUGCAUAGAUAUCACGCAGAACUCCGAUUGCGAAGGCAGCUUACUAAGCCAUAACUGACGCUGAAGCACGAAAGCGUGGGGAGCAAACAGGAUUAGAUACCCUUGUAGUC